UGACAUUGUCUAAACAGUUUAAGAUUUGUUGGUUAGUAUUGAGUUAAAGAAAAUCAUGAUGAAGCAAGGAAUCAUUCUCCUAAUGCUAGUGGCUCUGUUUGCUCUCUUUAACCAGAGCUAUGGAGAACAGGUGUGUAGAUAUGGAUUGCAGUUGAAAGAUUGUGGAAAUGGUCCUUCGUUCUGCCGUGGAGAAAUUGCCAAAAAAAUAUGGCGUCACGCCUACAGAUUGCUAUUGUGAAGUUAAUGCAAGUAAUACGGCCUCUUGCCAAUGUGAUGCUAAUUGUAAACCACCUGUGAAAGAAAAGAAGAUUUUGUCUCUUUAAUUUUAUGCUACACAAAUUAUGAGAUUGAUGAUUAAGAUUAAAUAAAUUGCUAAUGUUUGAGUUA